UCCGGUUUGUCACCGGCAGUCUCCCUAGAGUGCCCUUGCGUAGCAACUAGGGACAAGGGUUGCGCUCGUUGCGGGACUUAACCCAACAUUUCACAACACGAGCUGACGACAGCCAUGCACCACCUGUGUAUCACCCUCGAAGGCGACGUCUUUUCGGACGCUUGCAGAUACAUGUCAAGCCCUGGUAAGGUUCUUCGCGUUGCAUCGAAUUAAGCCACAUGCUCCACCGCUUGUGCGGUCCCCCGCCAAUUCCUUUGAGUUUCAACCUUGCGGCCGUAGUCCCCAGGCGGUUCACUUAAUGCGUUAGCUGCGGCACCGGAGGUUACCCCCCGACACCUAGUGAACAUCGUUUAGGGCCGAGACUAC
rnacentral:misc_RNA from 1 species